GUCAUUAAACCUUAGGGAGGAUGCAGUAACGGAAGGGGACUGUGCUGAAGAACUGCUUCAGCUCUCCAAACACACUGUUGAAGAAUAUUUUGUGGCACCACCAGGAAAUAUUCCUCUACCAACGAGGGAGGAAAGGGCCACCAUACUGAAACACUCAGAGUUAUGAUAUUUAUUACAAAUAGUACAUUUUGGAAGUUAAAUAAAAACCUUAAAGUACUGCAUUAA